GGAAGUAAAAGUCGUAACAAGGUUUCCGUAGGGACCUGCGGAAGGAUCAUUACUGAUUUAGCGAACCGAGCGUUAGCGAGGUUUUGCGAUCAACUUGUAUUUAAAACCCACUCUUCAAUGUAUAAAAUUUGUAUUAAUGAUAAAUUAAAAGAUCACUUUCAACAACGGAUCUCUUGGCUCUCGCACCGAUGAAGAACGUAGCGAAGUGCGAUAAGUAAUGUGAAUUGCAGUAUUCCGUGAAUCAUCGAACCUUUGAACGCAUAUUGCACUUUCUGGUAUUCCGGAAAGUAUGCCUGUUUGAGGGUCAGUUAAAUAAAAAUCGGUGUUGUUGCCGCUUUCCGUGGUGACGCGUCGGAAUUGAGUCGUCUUCGGUUAAGUGACUUAAAAUUUUAUAUGAUUUUCGAACGUAUUUAAAUUUAUUUGAACGUUUGAUAUCGAAUGCUUAUUAGGUUCGGUCAUCCUCAUGACUCGCGCCUAUAAUUUUUCAUUAAAUGACCUCAAAUCAGGUAAGAAUACCCGCUGAACUUAAGCAUAUCAAUAAGCGGAGGA
rnacentral:rRNA from 1 species